rnacentral:rRNA from 1 species
CCUACGGGAGGCAGCAGUGGGGAAUAUUGCACAAUGAGGGAAACCUUGAUGCAGCCAUGCCGCGUGUGUGAAGAAGGCCCGAGGGUUGUAAAGCACUUUCAAUUGUGAGGAAAGGUUAGUCGCUAAUAUCGGCUAGCUGUGACGUUAACUUUAGAAGAAGCACCGGCUAACUCUGUGCCAGCAGCCGCGGUAAUACAGAGGGUGCAAGCGUUAUUCGGAAUUACUGGGCGUAAAGCGCGCGUAGGCGGACUGUUAAGUCGGUUGUGAAAGCCCUGGGCUCAACCUAGGAAUUGCAUCCGAUACUGGCAAUCUAGAGUUUAGGAGAGGGAAGUGGAAUUCCUGGUGUAGCAGUGAAAUGCGUAGAUAUCAGGAGGAACAUCAGUGGCGAAGGCGACUUCCUGGCCUAAAACUGACGCUGAGGUGCGAAAGCGUGGGUAGCGAACGGGAUUAGAUACCCCGGUAGUCCACGCCGUAAACGAUGUCAACUAGCUGUUGGCCUUAUUAAAAAGGUUAGUAGCGUAGCUAACGCGCUAAGUUGACCGCCUGGGGAGUACGGUCGCAAGAUUAAAACUCAAAGGAAUUGACGG